AUGUCAUUCAGGGAGAGCCUCAGAGAGCAGCUGAGCAAUGGAAAUCAGAUCUCCAGCUAUCGACACAGAAGUCAGAGUGGAAACCUGUGGUAUCCUGCCUGCAGAGAGGAGAACCAGAGCCCCCCUUCUUCCUGGGACUCCUCCUGCCUGUGUGCCGGUGGUUGGCUCACAAAUAGACACUAUCUGUUUGCAGCAACAGAGAAGAGAAACGCAAACAAGAGAAGAGUCCCAAAGGUGGAACUCACAGAGAACAAGGGGUCUUUCCAUUGGCAGCUGAGGUUUUUUGGCAGGAGUAAAAGAUCUCUCCGUUCUCAUUUAUUUUGUAAAGAAUGACAUAUUGGUGGGCAUGAGUACCGCAUAAAGCUUGCUUCAUAAAGAACGAGGAGAGGAAGAAACUGACAAGAACGAACCUCCAUUCAAUUCACUCAAGAGAAUUGUGGGUUCAUGCAGAAAUAAGCAGUACUGGAGAGUGGAUUUAUAAUGUUUGUUACACAAAUUCUACCUUAUUUUUUAACAUUGUGACCUUGGGCAAAUUAACCCCUCCGAGAUUGUUUCUUCAUCAGUAAAAUAAAGACAAUCUUUAAUAUCUGGUUCCA
rnacentral:lncRNA from 12 species